rnacentral:tRNA from 1 species
AACAUUGUAUUUUAUGGAGAAUAAUAAAUUGCAAAUUUAUAGGAAUAUAUUAUUGAUGUUA